AGAUCUGUGGUCCUCAAUGACCCAGAGCUUUCACUGCUGCUCUGCUCCUGCGUCUUCUGAAGCUCAGCCCUCCUGGGUUUAAGGCUCUUGCUCCUGAUCAGUCUGCCUUGUAUUGUGUGCAUCUGCUUUGGGUAAAGACUCUUUUUAAAAGAUUUGCCUGGAAUUUAAUCUCACUUAAUCUGCAAACUUCCCAUUGCUUCAUCAGACCCAGCAGGAAAAGUACUCGCAGAAGCCCUGUGCCUGGUGUGGUGGCCUGAAGACACAGCACAUGCUGCUGGGAGCUCCUGGCUCUGAAAAGGCUGUGCGGCUAUUAGGCUGACCUGGACCCGUGCCAGGUGUGUGUUCCUGGGCAGGUUAAGCUUCCCAGACUACUUCCAGUUUGGCUACAUGUGGCUUCAUCCUCAUUGUCCAAGGUGGCUCCUGGGGCUCCAGCCAUCACAUCAUGAUUCCAGAUGAGACUUGGCCAGAAAGGAAGACGGGAUGGGUUCUCUGGUGCCCACUGGGCUUGCUUGGAAGCAGCGGUGGCUGUGUCCCCUCUGGGCAGAAUCGCUGCUGGUGGAGAAACGGCAGGCUGACCAGGGCGGAGCCAGCGUGGGGAGCGUGGGGGGCGACGCCUUGUCACCACAGCCGCGAGGUCGUCCUGCGCCUCAGCCCUCACCAUGCUGUCCCCACGCCUGCUGUCCCCAGUCGAGAUCAGCUCUCGGAAGGAAAGGAAGAGGCCUAUCUAUCCUGUUCCCCACUGUAGCCUCUGCAUCAAAUUCUGCCCAGAAGCGUUCCGUAAGAGUUCCGUAAGCGAGAUCAGCCCUCUGAAGGAAAGGAAGGGGCUUAUCUAUCCUGUUCCCUACUGUAUCCUCUGCAUCAAAUUAUGCCCACCUCAUAGUAAGAGUUCCCUAAAAGUUGGUUAUUUAAAUGAAUCAAAUUUUUACCAUUUCUUCAUUGGACUCUUUUUCAGAUUUUUUCCUCCUUUACCCUGAAUCCUAAAUAUUCACUGAUUCUCCCUUGUUUUUGUCACCAUUCCCACCCACAUUUAACCCCUGUGACUAUAUCAU
ensembl:lncRNA